CCCUGACCCGUGACGCCGGCAUCCGCUGCCUGGCGUCAGAUCCGCGCGUCGCCGUCCCGCGGGCGUCCUCUCCAUCCUGGGUCGCCGGCGACACUUCCCUCUCCUCCCCGUUCCUCCACCAUCUGCCUUCCAUCCCUGGCCACUACAGCGCGCCGCUGCACCCUCCCCGCCGCAACAACUUCGGCCCCAACCCGGCAACCACCGUAUCCACCCCGCCCUGCCGCCUUCGACCAUGGCCGCCUGUCCGCCGAGGGCAAUCUGCCCGCCGCAUCCACCAGUCUCGAGCGUCCUCUCCUCCCCUUCCAUUUUUUUCUUUUCAGAUUUGGGAACAACACUGCAGUUCUCUUGGGGCAUCAGUGUGGUGCGAUUGGAUUUUUAGUCCAACGUUGAUGGUUGUGCAGCUCUCUUGUGCGUCCAAUGCGAUUCGGUGGCCGUGAACAUGAAGUUCAUCGACCGGUUGUUUCUCUUUCCGUUUUUUAGUUUCAUUCACCUGAUGCAGAUGAGAAACCGCCUACUCCCCACUUCCACCCCUUCCUUCCUUUAUUUUUGUGCUUGUAGUUUGGCGACCGUGACAGUGCAGCUCAGAGGCGCCCGUGAUGCGGUUUAGUGCUCAAGCGCUUGUAGCUUUGGGCAUUUUUGCGUGUUGUUGUAGUUCGUUAGCCACAGACGUGCAACCUCCAGCUGGAUGCGGGAUCAUGUGUGCCCCCAACCUCCUAUGCAAGUGAACCUGUGCUCCGUCGGGAGCUCUCGGAAAUUUACUGUACUUUAUUUUGUUUCUAAAA